AUUGAACGCUGGCGGCAGGCCUAACACAUGCAAGUCGAGCGGGGGUAGCAAUACCCUAGCGGCGAACGGGUGAGGAAUGCUUGGGAAUCUGCCUGGUAGUGGGGGAUAACGUCCCGAAAGGAACGCUAAUACCGCAUACGUCCUACGGGAGAAAGGGGGGGAUCUUCGGACCUCUCGCUAUCAGAUGAGCCCAAGCGGGAUUAGCUAGUUGGUGAGGUAAAGGCUCACCAAGGCGACGAUCCCUAGCUGGUCUGAGAGGAUGAUCAGCCACACUGGAACUGGGACACGGUCCAGACUCCUACGGGAGGCAGCAGUGGGGAAUAUUGGACAAUGGGCGAAAGCCUGAUCCAGCCAUGCCGCGUGUGUGAAGAAGGCCUUCGGGUUGUAAAGCACUUUAAGCGAGGAGGAAGGUUCGUCACCUAAUACGUGACGGAAUUGACGUUACUCGCAGAAUAAGCACCGGCUAACUCUGUGCCAGCAGCCGCAGUAAAAC
rnacentral:rRNA from 1 species